UGCAUUAAAUGACAGUUUGAUAAACUCUUAUAUAAGCCUUACACCUCCACAUAGUAGGGAUUUAUUUUAAGAUGUUAAUAAAAUAUUGUCGUUGGCCACAAAUUUCAUAGCACAAGGCUAAGACCAUUUUUUCAGAAGAAAGGGACAUUUAAUCCGAAAGUUACUUGGUUGUUACAGUCUGAAUGUUAGUGUUCCCCAAUAUUAGGGUUCAUAUACUAGAAACUAAUAUCAAAAGUGAUAGUAUUAAGAAGUAGGGCCUUUGGGAAGGGAUUAAGUCAUGAUGUCUCCACCCUCAUGAGUGGGAUGAGUACCUUCAUAAGACAGGCUGAGUCUAGCUACCUUGCCCCUUCCACUGUGUGAGGACACAGCAACAAAAGUGCCACCUGUGAAGCAAGGAGUGAGCCUUCGCCAGACGCUGAAUCUACUGGGGCUGUAAUCUUGGACUUCCCAGCUUCCAGAACGAGCCCCUUGGUGACCAGGCAAAAUGACAGUUCCCUGCAGCUGGUUCUCAGAUGGGCACAUCUAUUAGCCUCUGCUCUCAGAAGAAGUUAGCUGCAGAACCCACAUGUGAAUCCUUAUAGGACUUUGGAGAAGAUCAAAUGGGAGCUUGGAUGUGGAAGCUCUUUGGAAACCAAGAAGCACUCUGUAAAUGAAAAGGACCGCUGCCAGUCCACCAACACUCUAAGUGGGGAAGUAAGAAACCUGGUGACUCCUGCUUCCCACACAAAAGCCAUGAUGAGACAGAUGCUUUCUAAGUCCGAUAUAUCUACCCACCUUCUGCUGCCACCUCUGUACCUCCUGAGUCACGUGGAAUGUGGUGCUGAGCCAAAUGAUCCUUCUUCUAGAAGCAGUGGAAUGCUGGAGGCUGCCUAUACUUUAGCCGAUUGUUAAAUUUUCAGGGAUUUUGUGAGCCAGUUUUUAAAUGCAGACGUUGUUGAAAAUUAAAUAUUAUAAACU